GAAGAUGUAUUCGGAAGUUCUUCAAAAAGCAGUUCUUUCUAUCCUUGAUUUCGGAGGAUCUUCCAAAGAUAGGUUUUCUCCCUUGCUAUUGCUUAAACACACUGGAUUUGACAAAAACAGAGAUGGUCUUUUGCUAGAGAAGGAUGGCUCUAAACCUAUGCAAUGUGCUUCCAUAUUUGAGAUCCUGUCGAAAUUGGAUGAAAUUGCUUCCAAAGGAGAUUCUGG
rnacentral:misc_RNA from 1 species